rnacentral:tRNA from 1 species
CUCCCCAUAGUUCAAUGGAUAGAACAAACCCCUCCUAAGGGUUAGAUCCAGGUUCGAGUCCUGGUGGGGAGGCCA